rnacentral:rRNA from 1 species
AUUGAACGCUGGCGGAAUGCUUUACACAUGCAAGUCGAGCGCCCCGCAAGGGGAGCGGCAGACGGGUGAGUAACGCGUGGGAAUCUACCCAUCUCUACGGAAUAACGCAUGGAAACGUGUGCUAAUACCGUAUACGUCCUUCGGGAGAAAGAUUUAUCGGAGAUGGAUGAGCCCGCGUUGGAUUAGCUAGUUGGUGGGGUAAAGGCCUACCAAGGCGACGAUCCAUAGCUGGUCUGAGAGGAUGAUCAGCCACACUGGGACUGAGACACGGCCCAGACUCCUACGGGAGGCAGCAGUGGGGAAUAUUGGACAAUGGGCGCAAGCCUGAUCCAGCCAUGCCGCGUGAGUGAUGAAGGCCCUAGGGUUGUAAAGCUCUUUCACCGGUGAAGAUAAUGACGGUAACCGGAGAAGAAGCCCCGGCUAACUUCGUGCCAGCCGCCGCCGUAA